UUGCAGUCCAUAAAUAAAAUGUUUGGAUACGUUUAAUAAUGCUGAAAUGCUUGUCAUGCUCUUCUGAUCUCACUUUGUGCUUGUUGCCCCUAACUCAGAGUGCAGAGGAGCUGCUUGGGACCAGGGUCGUGGCAGCACCAGGGGAGCUGGCAGCUCUGGCCUUAAAGCCUGGGCCUUGGAAGAAAUGGAGGUGUUGGGGCUUUUGUAGUUAAAUACAAUGUAAGUAACAUGACAGUUGCCUUCAUUGUUUUCUUGAUGAAAUGAGUCCUGUUGAGCUGCUUCCAGGCAGCAGAUGGUGAAGAUCCCACUUGUCUGUUGGCUGGGUCCGCAGCUGGCUGGGAAGCACUUUGCUGUUGUGCCAUGGGAUCCAUCACAGGAAUUCUCAGACGUGAAGAAAGGUACCAAAUUUGAAGGGCUUGCCAACGGUUUCCAUUAAUCCUGGAGCAGGAGGUGGAUGCUGUUGGUGGAUCUCAGCUUGUCUGAGACAUGCUUGUUGUUCAGGAUUUGCAGUUCCCUGAACUGUACAUCAGCUGUGGUGCUGGCAAGCCUGGGAUGCUGACUGGUGACUGAUGAUGCAGCGAAGGUAAUAACCAAGGCAGUUGGCAGAAUUUGAGGGUGGCAAAGUGUUUAUGAUUUAAAAUGACAAAAUGCAUAAAGUACCUAUGGCUCUGUAUAGAUGCUGAAAGAAUAAAUAACAUAAAUCAGACCAUCUGGCACUCAGGACUUUUAGUGCAGUCUUAGCCAGCAGUUCGUAGGAAAUAGAAACAUGAUAAUACCAUCUCUCAAUGGUUGUUAGGAGCGAUCACUGUGAAAUGUGUGUAAACACUGAACUGGAAUUUCUGGAAACAGCAGCAUAUGCAAAAUUGGCAGAAAAUCACCAUGCUCUGGGGAUUAGAGUAACUGGAAGGAGAGCACCAGUGAGCUUGGAAGGACUCAUGGAUCUGCAGGACAAGACAUGGCUGAUGCAGGGCUGCUGGCUACCUGUGCCAGUUGCUGACAGUGCUGCUGGAGAUGUGACAGCACACCGAGCCAUCUCGUCUCUUGCAGUCUGUAGGCUCUGAUGGGGCUGAGUGACGUAAUGCCGUUCCCAAAUUGCUUGUUGUUGUCCCUUCCUCAUCCCUCAAGAAGCUCAGGAAGGCUAGAUGUCAGGAGGCUCUAAAGGGUGCUUUGAGUAAUAGGCCCUGGUGAUUAGCAACUCCUAUGUUUUCACAAGCGCUAACAAGUUAGUCACAGAGAGGGCUUCUGUAUGGGAACUGUUGAGUCCCAGCCUGAACCACUGAUGGAGCACCUGGAGAAAGGACCUGGUCAGCCCUGGGAGCACAGGUGAAGGCAAUUCAUCUGAGUGAUAGGAAGGAGUGGGGCCUGGCUGCACCUCUCUUGGACCUCAUUUAAGGGCUGACUGCCUGGGGGGAAGGAUCUCUUUCUGGAGAUCCCUCCUUGGUGAAGCUUUCCCCUGUGAACCUGGAAUCUUCUGAUAUGGAUAAGCAGUCUUCUCUGCUUCCUUUGUAGCACCUUUCUAUCGUGCUGGUCCUUCAUCAUUGCACCUCUGGUGAGACACCUUUUCCCAUCAUAUUAAUCUGUCCAGCUUCUAUGAACAGGCAUCUUAUUUUGCAGUUUAUAACUUAGUCUCAAUUUUUAAUUCUUCACCAGUGCACGAUGUCUCAAAUCUUUUCUUCUCUACUUGUAUCUCAUUUACUGCCAUUAUCUGAUAUUCUUAAAGAUGAUAAUCAUGGCUGAAUCUGGUGAAAGGGCCACAUCUCCUCCCUGGUUCCUUCCUGCACAUCAUGACUCAAUGAGAACCUUUCCUCCAGACCUGAAAACACUUCUCAGAACCACCAAAUCAUGACUGUAUCUCUAAAUGUUGCAGUUCUGAGGAAAGCUCUUUAAAGUAUGAUGAAAGCGACAGGGCUCACGCUGAGGCUUGCAGCUGGAAUCCCUAACAUGAAGCCAUGAGCUCACAUAGAAGUGAGGAGAACCAAGCUUUCACCCUGCGGUUUCUUAUUCUGGGAGCAGAAGUAUUUGAUAUCCAGUGUUUCUAAUAGAACUAAUCUUUAGAUAAGCCUUAUUUCAUGUAGCUGUUGCUGCCUAGGAGUUAACUGCCCGGUUGUACAUUUGGUGGCCAGCUGAGAGGCAGGAAUCUUUAGAGGCUGCUUUGCACUGCCUCAUUAGGCACCCACCAUUAUGUGUGAUGGGAGCAGACCCAUUCAUCACAUUUGCUGAAUCAAGCUGGUGGUAACACAGGAUUUGACUUAGUAAACAGUCAUGUUUGUGGAUAACAUCUGAGUGAGAACAUUGCAUUUAAUUUGACUCAAUAAAAGUAGAACAAAAUUAUUUUUGGAAGGACUUCAAGCCUUAGCUUUUGUAAACAAGCUUAAUAUUGGAUCGUCAUUUUGUUCAGCUUCAAGAGAAAAUGAAAAUUAAAUCUCAGUUGUCUCUUACAUGACAGGUUCUGUUGAAACCAGAUAGGAGAAAUUCCCAUCUUCAGACACUGGUGAAAAGCUUUUUGAAUUUCCAGAUUCAUUGGACUCAAUUGUCUCUGUGCUUCUUGUUUUCUCUUUGUUUGUUUCUCCAAUCAGCCUAGCUGGACGCUUACUCACAGGGCAGGGUGGUGUUGUAGAGGCCAUCAGAGCCAAGGGCUCCAGGCAGGAGAUGUUUUAUUCAGCACCAGUCUUCUCCCUGCUUGACUGCAUGUAGUGCAGGCUCUGGACAGUGCUGCUGACAGUAGUCAACAAAACAUUACAUUUUAAGGCCGAAGUGUAGAGUGCUGCACUUCUGGAAAAGGAUCUAGAACACUCAGGCUAAAUUGCGGUGGAUUUUCCUGGAGAUGGCAGAAAAUGAGCUUGCUCUGAUGCCACAAGUUGCCAAAGCUUUGAGCCGUGUUCGUAUUUGCAGGGUGGCAGAGGCAGGCAAGGCUGAGAUUGGAGGCAUUUUUAAGGUGGGCAAGCAAUGCUCUGUUUCAUUUUAAUUCAGAAACAACUGUAUUGCCUUAGCUGAAAUUAAAAUAAAAAAGAUAAAAGUAAUUGCUCCAGGCAUACACCCAGCAUGUAAACUUCCAGCCUAAGGCCUGACAGUGAUAUAAAUAACUGAUGGAGAGCCUUGCACUGGGGAGCAUUGGGCAAUUUGGGCAAUGAUGGCUCCAAUUCUUCAGGUACGUUUAAAUGGAUAUGUCUAGUGCCCAUUGUUUUCCCAAGUUUGUUGCUUGCAGCUGGCAUUCUUUCCUUUAUUCAGAAACAAGUACUGAAGCACUUUGUUUGCUCGAAAAAAAAAUUGAAGUUCUCUGUGCUGACAGUUGUGCAACUUGGCAUAUGCUGGCCAGAAAUGCUGGAGCAACUGACUCUGCUGAGUAUGCUUUUGAGUUAACUCUGAUUUCUGUACUUCCAUAGAGAAUUCUGUUUGUAUUUUGAAUUAUCAUGGGCUUUUUGCUUCUUUCCACUCUAUUGCCAUAGCUUC
ensembl:lncRNA